CCUACGGGGGGCAGCAGUGGGGAAUUUUGGACAAUGGGCGCAAGCCUGAUCCAGCAAUGCCGCGUGUGUGAAGAAGGCCUUCGGGUUGUAAAGCACUUUUUAGAGAGUUCCGGUACCUGAAGAAUAAGCACCGGCUAACUACGUGCCAGCAGCCGCGGUAAUACGUAGGGUGCAAGCGUUAAUCGGAAUUACUGGGCGUAAAGCGUGCGCAGGCGGUUUGUUAAGACGGAUGUGAAAUCCCCGGGCUCAACCUGGGAACUGCAUUCGUGACUGGCAAGCUAGAGUAUGGCAGAGGGGGGUGGAAUUCCACGUGUAGCAGUGAAAUGCGUAGAGAUGUGGAGGAACACCGAUGGCGAAGGCAGCCCCCUGGGCCAAACUGACGCUCAUGCACGAAAGCGUGGGGAGCAAACAGGAUUAGAUACCCUUGUAGUC
rnacentral:rRNA from 1 species